AUGUGUGUGCCCUGCUCAAAUGCAGAACAGCCUCCAUGCAGGUGGAAGGCUGUGCUGUCCAAAGACUUCAAGAUAUUUAAGAGCUUUAUUCCUGAAAGUACUGUGCAUCUGAAACUCCCUUCAGAAGUUCCUAGGCUACAUCCACAGAGACGAGCUGUAGCUAACAGCGAGAAAGAAAUGUGCAUCUGCACUGCCUUCCUAAUACUGCAUCUCAAACAACUUCAUCCAGGACAGAAACAAAUAAGAGGAAAUCCUGAAGAGCCUUGUGGACAUGCUGCGGCAUGUAAUGCAAGGUGUUCCCACCCAGGGCCCACCACCAAAGCAUACAGCCAUUAUACCCACAGAAGGGCAGAAUUCUUUUAAUGAUACACUAGAUUCUCUUUGGUUAAAAGUAUACAGAAAGCAUGUUAAAAAGCAAAAAAACCUUAAAAACUUUGCAAUUACAGGAAGAUCUAUUCCCUCUACAACACCAUCAUUUUUGACACUCCAGGCUGAGCCGGAUGUUUCUGUUGUGUUACGUGCUUAUGAAUCUACACAGUUGAAAGCACCACUGAAAAAGCUAGCCUUAAUAUUUCAGACUGUUGCUACAAAAAAAGAAAAAUAAAUAAGUCUUUUGAUGAGUUAAUAAAUGAGCU
ensembl:lncRNA